UGGGGAAUUUUGGACAAUGGGCGCAAGCCUGAUUCAGCAAUGCCGCGUGCAGGAUGAAGGCCUUCGGGUUUUAAACUGCUUUUGUACGGAGCGAAAAGGUCUGCCCUAAUACGGUGGGCUCAUGACGGUACCGUAAGAAUAAUCACCGGCUAACUACGUGCCAGCAGCCGCGGUAAUACGUAGGGUGCGAGCGCUAAUCGGAAUUACUGGGCGUAAAGCGUGCGCCGGCUGUUAUAUAAGACAGAUGUGAAAUCCCCGGGCUCAACCUGUGACCUGCAUUUGUGACUGUAUAGAUAGAGUAAGGUAGAGGAGAAUGGAAUUCCGCGUGUAGCAGUGAAAUGCGUAGAUAUGCGGAGGAACACCGAUGGAGAAGGCAAUCCACUGGACAUGUACUGACGCUCAUGCACGAAAGCGUGGGGAGCAAACA
rnacentral:rRNA from 1 species